rnacentral:lncRNA from 1 species
GAGAGAGCGUCUUGUGGCUGCGGCCUGCCCCUCAGCCUCCUCCGCGCGGUUACCCCUGUACCCGCCGCCAUCCGUCCUGGCGCUCCGGAUGAGUCAAUGAGGGGCAGGGCCCGAGGAGUGGUCUUCCCAAGAACCCCUGGUGGCCUCCCAAGGCCGGUGCUGUGUACCUCCUCCCCGACAAAAGGGGAAACUGAGGCCCCGAGGGGAGUGGGAAGAGCCGGCUGGACGUCAGGCCCAGCCGCUGGUGCAGUGGUCCGUCCCCUCUGCCGGGGUGGGCCCCUCGGGUUUCGCGUGUCCUCGGGAAAGAGACUGGCGGGUGAGCCGCGCCCUCGGCCUUCGCUGGGCUAAGCCGACCCCAUGCAGACGUCAAACCCCCCUAGGUCGGCACAGCCUCUCUGCGGGGAGGCUUAGUGCCCCCUUGAGAAACGGCUUGGCAACGCUGUGCCCGGGGCCUUGCACGCGGGCUGAGGGGGCUAGAGACCUCGCGACUUUUACUCCCCCGACCCCGAUCUCCGACUCCUGACUUUGGAAGCCCCCAAAGCUGCUUUUCGGUUGCCUACAAAGUGUCGGUCAUUGUGCCACGUCCUUGGAACCGUGAACUCAUUUUCUCCUCAAUAACCUUUAAAAAGUAGCUGUAAAACCUCCAUUUUACAGACCAGUUGGCUGAGGUUUAAAUGGAGGACGCUCCCAGGGCCCCAGAGGGGCGAAUUCCAGACUCCUUUGCCAGGACCUUGUACUAAGCCCCUUCCCUACGCUUUUCCCUGCCUAGGCCUCGUGGGCUGUGCGGCUAUCCUGGAGACAGAUGACAGCUCUCCCUUGGAUGGCUUUGCUGGUUCCGCACCAGCCAGCGCCCCCAUUUUUCCUGCAGCACCCUGAUCUGCACUCCCUGAGGGGCUCCCACUGUCCGCGGUGUGAGGAUGUCCCUGGGUAAGUGGUGCUGGUCAUGAGCACUUUGGGGGACCCUUCAAAUUCCCUUCUGGGGGACCCCAGCGGAGGGCAUGGUCAUGAAUUCCGAGAACUGUAUGGCAAAGCCGGGUGCAGAGGAGAGCCUGGCUAAGUUCUUUCAUUCUCCUGAGCUUGACUUUCUGUAAUGUAGGGAAACUGCGAAAGCUCUGUAAGUGGGGAGAUCUUGCACGUUUUUCUUGCUUUUGAACCCAUGAUGUCUGGCUACUUGUAGAUACUCAAUAUUUGUGGGAUGAAUGAACAAUUUAAGCCUUUUUUUUUUUUAACCAGAAAUUGGUCUUCUGUGACUUUCUUGAUGGGGGCAGAUGAGAUCUUUGUACUGCAUUAAGUGGAUAGCGCUCAGGUCCUUUGGGCUUGGCGCUUUGGCAAUCUCCAGGCAGCUCACUUUGGCCUCUGUUCCUGGAUCCCCUUUGCUCUUUUCUGCGCCUGCAUUCAUAGUCCACUGUGUGCAGAGGCAUGGGAGUUGUCAUGUUGGGAACAUGCUAGACCUCAGUAUCCUUGAGCUUGAAGAAAGACGACAGAACACUGGAGACCAAGUACUUACAGCCUUCUGCUCUGUGGCCCCUCCUCACUCCAGGGAUGCUGCCUUGGGUCUGGAAACUGUUAGAGGAAACCCCAAGAGGUGCAGGCACUGAGCCUCUCAGGACAAUGACCUGGGGUCCCAGCUCCCCUGGAGGGGCCUCCUCAUGAUUGUUUGGGGGUUGAUCACAGACCAAGAGUGACGAGUGAUGUCACCCUGUGACUCAUGGCUGGACCUUCUUGCCCCUAUUGUCUCAGCACAACAUUAUUCGACUUUUCCCUCAGCGUGGGUGGGCAGAGGAAAAGCCCUGUGGCUCUGGGGACUUGGGAUCCAGAGUUGAAGACCCUUCAGCUGGCUCUGCCCUGCCAGUGCCACAGAGUGCCAUGGCCCAGGAAGACAGGUUUUCUUCCAUCUAGGCCAGGCCAUCCAGUGGCCAUCCUCCGUGUCCUCCCGCCUCCUCCUGGUGUGACUUCUGAAAACCAAGAAUUUGUUCCUGUUGACUUUUUCUGUGCUAUGGACCAUUGUCCUCUCACCCAC